ACUUGCUUCUUUUUAACAGCCCUAUCAGCCGAGAGAAAUAAUGACUCCUGAAUCAUUUGACAGUAAAAAAGUUAAAAUGAUGUCUCAAUGGCGCUGCAUCAUGCCAGACGCGCGUGGAUGAUUUGAAGAUAUUAGCCUAACAAGAUGGAAGCAGGUUUAAAAUUUUACAUAAGAAGUUACCUUUUUCAGAUACAGUUAAGCUAAUGAUCUCGAGAGGAUAUCGUCCUGGAUAAGGGUGGAGCCUACGCCCAAAAACAAGAUUACCUGAAAGAGAAAAGAAAGGGGGAAAACACACAGAGAUACAGUCGGGGAGGCCACAUGAAGAUGGAGGCAGAGACAGGAGUGAUGAGCCUGCAAGCCAAGGAAUGCCAAGGGCUGCCAGCAGCCAUGAGAAGCUGAGAGACACAGAGAACGAGUCCUCUGCCAGAGCCUCCAGAAGGAACUAACCCUGUCAAUACCUUGAUUUCGGACUUCUGGACUCCAGAACUAUAACCCUCCUUCCUCCACCUCACAAAAACUCACAAGCUGCAACCCUUCUGAUGUCCACUCCCACACAAACCAGCUUCAGGCCUUUUUCAAGAGUGCAGGAAAUUCUACCCCCCAAGUAUGGCACCUUGGCAUGCUGAGUAUUUUAAGCUGAAGGAAACAGAGAAAACCACAGAAGCAGAAAGGUCUUUCUGACCUCUCUUGAAGACCCUCAUGUGACAGGUGUCCUGCCCUACAUCCAGAGAGAAGGAAUGUUCCACAGACAGACUAAGAAGAAUCUGAAGAAUCAGGCCUUACUAAGUGCCCUCCAGUGGAUGCUGUGGGGCACCACCUCCUUGAGGACCAAGGCACUCCAGCUGCCAGGAAUUUGGCUGCUAACCUCACACAGCUGAGCCUUCCAUGAAAAUUGCUCUCUGCCAAAGAGAACUUCCUAGUCCAAGGUCAUGUCUACUCUCCAGAGAUGUGACUGGAGUGAUUUGCACCCGGAUGCCUAGACUCGCCAUCUGCUCAAAGACUGCUCAGAAAGCCCUCCCAUGCAUUCCCCUGCUGCAUACCAGCCCACUCUGCCUGCAGCUGCUGUCUGCAGGACUUCAUAUCUAUGCCACACUGUGUAAAAGCUGUGCUUCAAGAAAUCACAAAAACAUUUUCCUGCACCUACUACACAGCCUGAGUGCGGCAUAAGUUGACCUUGCUUGCUAAGAAAUGGGGCAAGAAAUGCUUUUUUGUGUGUGUCAUGUCUGUUUGUUUUUCAAUUAAGAGAGGAAAGCAUUAGGCAGAUGGAAUGUACAUGUGAGGAUGAGGAGACAGAAAACAAGUAGCCCUUUCCAUCAAGAUAGAGGGUUUUCUGGGGUUGCUGGCUAUUGAAUGUCACUCCUGAUUUCUCUUUCCAAGGCACUGUACCACCAGCCUACUGAGAUUGUGUGGGAGCUUUCAUGGGGGUUGUAUUUCACUGAUGAAAAUAAAUUUUUUGCAUAAUGUGAAUGUUUAUGUUUCUUUAUAGAAUAGACUUAGUUUAGCAAUAAGCUAAUAAUACUGACGUAACUCUAAUUCUCUGGGGAAAAAAUUUGCUCCCCCACCUUCCAUUCCUGCAACAUCAUCAAAG
rnacentral:lncRNA from 10 species